CCUAUGGGAGGCAGCAGUGAGGAAUAUUGGUCAAUGGACGAGAGUCUGAACCAGCCAAGUAGCGUGAAGGAUGACUGCCCUAUGGGUUGUAAACUUCUUUUAUAAAGGAAUAAAACGAGGCACGUGUGCCUUUUUGCAUGUACUUUAUGAAUAAGGAUCGGCUAACUCCGUGCCAGCAGCCGCGGUAAUACGGAGGAUGCGAGCGUUAUCCGGAUUUAUUGGGUUUAAAGGGUGCGCAGGCGGCGUGUCAAGUCAGCGGUAAAAUGUCGGGGCUCAACCCCGGCCGGCCGUUGAAAUUGGCGUGCUCGAGUUGGAGAGAAGUAUGCGGAAUUCGUGGUGUAGCGGUGAAAUGCAUAGAUAUCACGAAGAACCCCGAUUGCGAAGGCAGCAUACCGGCUCCACACUGACGCUGAGGCACGAAAGCGUGGGUAUCGAACAGGAUUAGAUACCCCAGUAGUC
rnacentral:rRNA from 1 species